UUACGGCCACAACAUGUGGACACACCGGGUCCCGUACGAUCACCGAAGUUAAGCAACGUCGAGACUUGUCAGUUUCUAGAUGGGCGUUCGUUAGGGAAUAACAGGUGCU